rnacentral:rRNA from 1 species
CUUUGGGAUAACCCUCGGAAACGGGGGCUAAUACCGGAUAUGACCUCCUGUCGCAUGGUGGGGGGUGGAAAGUUUUUCGGCCUGGGAUGGGCUCGCGGCCUAUCAGCUUGUUGGUGGGGUGAUGGCCUACCAAGGCGACGACGGGUAGCCGGCCUGAGAGGGCGACCGGCCACACUGGGACUGAGACACGGCCCAGACUCUACGGGAGGCAGCAGUGGGGAAUAUUGCACAAUGGGCGGAAGCCUGAUGCAGCGACGCCGCGUGAGGGAUGACGGCCUUCGGGUUGUAAACCUCUUUCUGCAGGGACGAAGCGCAAGUGACGGUACCUGCAGAAGAAGCGCCGGCCAACUACGUGCCAGCAGCCGCGGUAAGACGUAGGGCGCGAGCGUUGUCCGGAUUUAUUGGGCGUAAAGAGCUCGUAGGCGGCUUGUCGCGUCGACCGUGGAAACUUGGGACUCAACCCCAAGCCUGCGGUCGAUACGGGCAGGCUAGAGUUCGGUAGGGGAGACUGGAAUUCCUGGUGUAGCGGUGAAAUGCGCAGAUAUCAGGAGGAACACCGGUGGCGAAGGCGGGUCUCUGGGCCGAUACUGACGCUGAGGAGCGAAAGCGUGGGGAGCGAACAGGAUUAGAUACCCUGGUAGUCCACGCUGUAAACGUAGGGCGC